CAAAAUACAGAACUUAACUUCAGCAGCUUGUUCUCCCCACCAAGCCUGCAAUGCACAACUAGCUUCCCCAGCUGUCUGUACCUGCCAGAGCUCCCUCCCCUUCUAUGUCUCAUCCACCUCCAGUUCCUGAUGGCUGCCUCCUUUUAUAACCGGUAGCUGAGCAGAGACAAGGGAGUGCCUGUGUGUGAGACUUGGAGCAUCCUUGGUGUGCUGCCCCAUAGGGAAUGGGACCUCCCUGCUGAAAGCCCUCUUCCAACAGACCAGCCGGCAGGCUUGCCCCCGAUGCACCUCCCACCGCUGCCUGGAGCCUGUGACUUCAAGCAGAUGCUGUCCUCCAGCCGGCCAUGAGGCAGGGGUCACGCUGCGGGGAGCCCAGUCCACGCUGGCCGGGCAGUGACUAUGCAGGCAGCAGCCACGGUGUGCCCAGCGACAGCUCAGCGACAGCCUUGGGACGACUGACAACACCAGGGUGUGCCUCAGCGCAGACGGGACAGUGCUCGUGUCUGUGGUUACCGCCGGGAGGUCCAGCCACGCAGAAAGGAGAUGAUUUAAUUCUUAUUUCAGUGUCAUGUUAUCUUAUCCCUGCUUGUUUCCGUUACCAUAGCAUCCAGCAGCCCCAGACCAGGGCUCCGGUGCACUAGGGACCGUGCAAACCCAGAACGAAACAACAGGCCCUGCCCCAACGAGCUGCCAAGCUAAGCAAAUCUUUGGAAGAACAGCAUCUCUAGUGUCGCAGCGCCCUCUGUUACUGCACUGCCUUGGGCCUGAGCCCAGAAUCCACACAUUGCCAGGCCAGGUUGCCAGCAACUGUGUCACACAUGCAGUCGGCUUGGAAGCAUCCAUUUCCUCUGCCCGAGAUGCUGCAGCUUUGCCGUGUGCCAUGAAGCAAUCCGUGCGAAUGCAGCCCGGCUCUCGCGCUGCCCCAUGCAAAGGGAGGCCAGGGGAGCAGCAGCAGUCGCGGUAUUGUUGGAGCAGAGCACAGGCAGCGAGGGUACCGGCUGUCUGAAUGGAGAGGAAAUGGCAGAAAUACCAACCAGAGCCACAGCCGAGCUAAAACUGUUUUAGUCUCCAGGGCUGGGAGUCGCAUGCUGGGGACCUGAUCCUGGGAGGGGCUGAACCCCCCUCAAAUCACAGUCAGCUCAGUGGAAAUUCAUAGAUUUCUAGAGUUUAAGGCCAGAAAGGACCAAGCUUAUGCCUAGAUUGCCAGCGCCUCAGGACAGGGCCUGUCUUUUUGUUCUCUGUGGUACAGCGCCUAGCGUGACGGGGUCCUGGUCCGUGACUGGGGCUCUUGGGUCCUAUGGUAGCUCAAAUAAUAAGAAUUAGCUCAUGCAGUCUGACCUCCUGUAUAGCCAGGGGACAGCAUUUCACCCAGUUACCCCAGUGCUGAGCCCAUAACGUGUGUCUGACCAAAGCCUAGCCAGCCAGCUCAGGGCUCUGUGCAGGCACCCAGUGCUGCCCCUCUCCGGCUCGGUGUCUGAGCUACAGCAGCCGUGCCAGGAUUAGGCAGGGAGGCGAAGGGAAGAUCCUCACUGCUGGGGCCCCUCAGUCUCUGGGUGUGGAGAGGAGGAUUGUGAAAGUGAGUCAUGUGCAAUGAGUGUGGAAGGCUCGAUGCACGAGGAAAGCAAAUGGUGACCCAGUGGCAAGUGGGGCAGGGCAGCCCCGACACAGAGCCACCCUCCCUGAGUCGCUCGCUCUGGGCACCGGGCGCUGACUGUUGCCGGAGGGGCGGAGAAGGGAGCUCGGGACAUCGGGGUGCUCUGGGGGUUCCCAGCUGUCCUCAGUGUGGUGUUCCGCAUUCCCUGGGGGAGGAGGAGGGAGCUGUCAGACAAGACAGCAAGAGCCAUUAGAGCCGUUCGCUGGGCUCUGAGCGGAGGGAGAUGGCCUAUCGACAGGGGAAACAAUUAGCAGCGUCGCCGCCAUUAGGCACCAGCCAUAAAGGGGAAAAACAGAGCUCCGAGUGGGGGAAUAGCUGCGUCUCUCUCUCGUGCCCACCAUUAACCCAGCCUUGUGCGCACACGCAGGAGGACGAGCAGCCGGCCAGCACGGGAAUGUCUCGCUCCCAGCUGCUGGGGCUCGAUUGCCGCCAGCCGCAGGUGCUGGGAUACCUGGGACUCCAGAGGGAGGCAAGAGCUUUAUUUCAUCAUAAAAGUAUUUACACUCAUUGUCCCCGUCCCCCCACGGCCAUGCCCACGCCAACACCCGUUUGCUGCGGCACUGAGGAAGGGAGCGGCACGUGGGAGAUGCAGAAGGGACCCCGGGAGGUGCAGGGGUCAGUUAUAUGCUGUCCUUGGGCAGCGCACAGGUGGGUGGCCUGUCUCUUCCCAGUCUUCAGUGCAGAAAGGAACUGAGAUGAGACAGGAUUGCCAGGCAGGCCCGGCCUAGCUGAGGAGGGGCCACCAGCCUGCUCCUGGGCUCACAGGACUCUCUGUUGGCAGGCUGGGAGCUGGGGGCUGUUGUGGCACAGCCGCUCAGAGAGCACUUUCCCUUUCUGGACCAGCUCCCCAGCCAUAGCUUUGCCUCCUCACCCUGCCCCCACUGAAUUGCCUCUCGCAGGGGCUGCCUUUUCCUGGCUUGCAGGGGCUGCUUCUUGUGUAUUUAUCUUCUUCGGGCAAAGGCCGCAGGCAGGAAAGUUUGCAGGGCUUCGGUCAGCACGGCCAUUGCAUGUACAGUGGGACAGUUGCAGUGUAGCUGCCUGCAACACGAUGACUCUCGUAAAGCCACCAGUGCUAGAGAUUGCAUUUAGCACUAAGCACACGGUACCACAAAACCUCAUUUACCCAUGAAAGCCAUCUACAAUCAAACCCAAUCCAGUCCAGGACAGACCUCGGGAACACACAGCCCUUCAAAACCCAGUCCGGACUGUCCUGGACUCCAGGGGAUGCAAUAGCCCUCAGGAAGUGGGGAGGUUCGAUUUGGACACACACAGGAGCUGAGCUAUUGGAGCCAGAGAAAGGCUCAAACCAUAAAAUCCAGAUCCAGACAGAGACUUUAACCCCACGUGGAGGUUGUUGGGACCUGGGGCUUGGCGGAGCCAUUUUCAAAAUUCAGCCCUGGGUUCAGAGGUGUUUGGAGCUAGGAUUUGGCUCUGCUCCAUCUCAAAUACAGCCUUGGAAAUCAGCUGGAAGGACCCCCAAGCACAGCCUUUCUGGUGCUACGUUGGUGUGUCUGCUUCUGGUCUCUCCGGGUACGUCUACACAGGUAUAAAAGACCCAUAAAAGGUCUGGGUCAGCUGACUAGGGCUCACGGGGCUACAAAUUUCUGUGUAGACAUCUGGCCUCGUGUUGAAACCCCAGCUCUGGGACUCUGCACCCUUGUAGGGUCCCAGAGCUUAGGCUCCAGCCCAAUCUACACAGUGAUUUUUUCAGCCCUGCAGCCCAAGGUCCCAUGAGCCCAAGUCUGCUGAGCCGAGCCAGCCGUAGGUUUUUUAUCCCUGUGUAGACGUACCUGCUCAGAAGCGGGCUGUGCAGAGGCUCAUGAAUAUGAAAACCAGUGGCCCAAGGGCCUCCAUGGAGCAGCUCUCUGGUGGUUAUGGGACAUGAUGCAUUGGGCUCAGUGGCCUCUAGGAAUGAACUGGUAGGUUUGGAACCUGUGUUCAGGCUGGUUUGAGCUCCGGUUAAGGGAGAAGUUUUGGUCCUUCAAUGCUGUGUCUGAAACACUGCUCAGCUGGAAGUGGAAAUAACCCUUCUCCCUCCCAAAGUGGCGUCUCACCACUACACAACUGGUGCUUUAAUAAUGCAAGAGCGAGCGAGCUGGGGAGCCGCCAGUAACCGCCCAUUUCAAGCCCAGAGUGCAGUGAAAACAGCACUCACAGAAGGGUGGAUCUUCAUUUGUUUGCAAUGUUACAUCAACGACACACGCACACUCGAGAACACGUCACAGUAGGCGAACACGGGGUACGCUACAAACCUCCAGGGGGGCAGCUUAGGUAGUGAACUGCUGCUCCCUAAAAGAGGGUGCCCUUCACCCUCCAUGCACAACAGCACCGGCAGGAGCUGAGCUGCUGACGCACAGACACACAAACACACACCGGCUGCCAGGACCCUGCGGGCAGGCUUGCAAGGUUGGAAAUCACAGGACCCGGAAUCAUGCUGCCAAGAGCCAUUGAUUCCAUGGCCUCGAACACUGGGGGUGUGGCUACGUUGGAGCAGGACGGGCGAAGUCCGGCUCAGAGAGACGUACCCACGCUAGCUCUGAUCACGCUAGUGAGCUAACAGUAGCAGCGUAGCAGCAGCAGCAGCAGGAAGGCCUAGCAGCCUCACGUACAAUCCCGUGGGAGACUCUCAGCACAUAUUGAGGGGGGGAGGCAGCUACCCCCUCCCGCUGCUCGUGCCACUGCAGCUACCCUGCUGUUUUUAGUGCACUGCCUCUGAUUGCGCUAACAGGGGAUUGCACCCCCAGCUCGCAAUGCAGACAUCCCCGCACUGCACUGUUGACCUGGCCUUGUGGACUUGGUGUUCUCAAGCCUGCACUUGAGCCUCCACACUGCAUUGAAAACCUGGGUUCACAGCUGCAAACGCUUCCGCACUGCACUCCGCAGACCUUCUGGUUCGGGUCUGCGGCUUGACCUGCAGCCAUACUGCAAAUUGCCAGGGAUUGGACCCACAUCACAGCAGAUCGUAGGCUCUGACCCACUCCCCUAGCAGGGUCCUAGGACCCAGGUCAGACUGAUUUGUAUGUGGACAGAAGUGGGACUUGGGCUCAAACCUGAUUCAGAGCCCAGGCUUAGGUUACGUCUACACAGCAAAGUGCCUAGGUCAAUUGAUGCAGGGUUCAAGCUGUGGGCUACACGUAGCAGUGUAGAUGCUCAGGCUUGGGCUGGAACCCGGGCUGUGAAACCUGGCAACA